ensembl:lncRNA
CUCAAAACAUAAGUGGGUCUAGUGUUUUAACCCAAAUUUGAGGGAAGCAUCAGCGGGACAGGUGGCCGAGGAACAUGUACAGCAACCCUUUGACAAUAUACAUUCACAAACACAUCUUCAAAAGCCUUUUGUGUCGGGGGAAAGCUGCCCACACUCUCGCUGCACUCAGACGAAUCAUUCACAGCUAGGGAGAGGGCACGGACCACUCACAGUAAAGUGUAUUUUUUUCCAGAUUGAAUCACGGAUAAUAUCACGUGGUGUGACGGAUGUCACGGUUCCCAUGACAACUUGCUGCAUUCAUCGAGGGAAAGGAAAAGCGAGGAAAUGCGCUUAAUAGGGCUCGUACAAUGUAGACAGAACCAGGGGCACUUCAAAAUGGCCUUGCUCACAAACCAAUGAAUCCCCAAAUCUGAAUAACACGCCUCUCUCUCAAACUCGCACAAACGCACACCAACAAAACUGGCCUCACUCAACGGAAGAACAGAAGAAGCCAGUAUCAUAUCAAGCUAAUUAAGGAAAACACAAUCUGCUUUGCAUUCAAACAAAAGAAGAGGCUACUAAUGAGGUCUACAGUGAGUAAAAGCACCGUUAGCAGCCCGUUAAAAGUCAACUAAAGCCACACUCCAUUGAACAGCUUCAAUAACGUGAAGCCAUACCGGGCAUUGACUAUAAAUACUCCUAAAAGUCUCCCAAAGGGCAUCUGUGUUAUAUGCUGCAUGACUUUGACUCACACUCUGCAGCUGUGUGGCUUUCAAGUGGCAUCCUUUCCAUGAGGGUUGAUAACUUUUCACAAAUGGCCUGUCUCAUCCUACACAGUGAUGUAUCGAAAAAGACAAGAGUUGUCAAAGUCAAGGAGGAAGGAACCUCCACAGAAACCUACCUUGAGGGAAACGACACACCGGAGCUGCUUGUUAGGUUUAAAGCUUCACAGAGGACGACCGCAGCGGCCAACGUGGAUUCACAUCGGAUUCCCACAGGACCCUGUAUCCCAAAGGAAAUAUCAAAAGAAGUCCCUUUUCAAACCUCAUCUGCUUUAUGAUGCUCUACUUCCCUCUCAUCUGUCAGAUCAUAACCUCUGCAUUUAUUGAAGCUAUUUGUUUUCAUUCAUAUGCCAAAAGACAGUUACGAACAUUCAACCAGCGG